UACGUAGGGUGCAAGCGUUGUCCGGAAUUAUUGGGCGUAAAGAGCUCGUAGGCGGCUCGUCGCGUCGACCGUGAAAACCCGCGGCUUAACUGCGGGCUUGCGGUUGAUACGGGCGGGCUAGAGUUCGGUAGGGGGAGACUGGAAUUCCUGGUGUAGCGGUGAAAUGACGCAGAUAUCAGGAGGAACACCGAUGGCGAAGGCAGGUCUCUGGGCCACUACUGACGCUGAGAAGCGAAAGCGUGGGGAGCGAACAGG
rnacentral:rRNA from 1 species